CUCCAUGAUCCUUGUGGGUCCCUUCCAACUUGGGAUAUUUUAUGAUUCUGUGUUUUCUAAAAUGAGGUCCAGAGUCUCAAAUAUUUCACCUGAACAAUGAAACAGUACUUCUAAACUUACCCAGCAGGACAAGUUUAGAGAUACGGACCUACAGAUAGCAAUGAUAUUGCUUGCAAGGAUCUGUUUUUAUGGAUGUCGGGUAGAAAACUUAUGUGAGUGCAUACAAUAUGAAAGGGGAGGAUAAGAAGAUGGGCCACUAUAGAAAAAAAAAAUUAGAAAAAAAUUCUCUCAAGCAGUAAAACGCAUCCUCUGGGUAAGGGGAUGCUGUGCUCCCAAAAGCUGAAAUAGAGCAAAAAAGGGCACAGCCCAAACACCCAGAAGAUGCUUUCCAGGAGCAGGCUUGGUACCAGAGGGAGAAGCACAAGGCCGCAGAGCAAAGGUCCCCACAGCCUCUGUGCCUCUGCUGGGUUGUGGAUGGGAGGACACCUCCUGUCACCCAGGCCCCAUGUCCUUCGUGUCCCCAUCGCUCACACAUGAGCAGUUUAUGCCCCCACAUCAUUACAUAAAACACUUCUUUCAGGCGAGUAGAAACUACAUAACAAAAGGAGGCUUUCCCCUGGAGACUCCCACUGAGUCACAAGAACGCAAAAAAAUAACUGCUAGGAAAGCCAGACUGCAUAUCCCCUCCUCAUCACCAAGCGGCUUGCAGCCCUCAGCCCCCCAGCUUACCAUCAGAAAGUCCAGCACUGGAUUUCUAAACUUUCUGACGGCUUUUCUCUUUGACAGCCAAACAAAAGUUGCAGCAGAGCACUCUCUUUCCCCACUUGUCACUUUUACUGUCUAAAUUACAAAUGCCUCUGCAAUGUGAUGCCUUCGCACAGACCCUGUUGUGAGCUGUGAGCAUUAUUUAAAACUCUGGUGAAGCUUUCUCGCUUGGCACAAGGAGUCUCCUGAUGGAUGUUGCAAGAGCUCUGUUCAUUUGGAGUUUUUAAGCACUUCCAGCAAAGCAGCUCAGUCACUUUUGCCAAUGAUACAGGGUACCCCAUCUGUGCCAAUCUCAUUUGUCUAAUUUAGAUCAAUCCAGUUAACUAGUAUUACUCACUGUCACGCCUGCAAGAGAUUUCCCUGGUUCUUCAGCUGCAUCAGAGCACUGAGCAGGAGGACACCCAGUGGCACACCAGGGUUUUCAGCAUCACAUCGAAGAAUAAGCAGGUCUACAUUCAUCAGCAUCAGGGUCAUUAUUAAUUAUUAAUGGUGCUAAUUCACAGCCAAGAAAUCCCUGAUUUGUGCUGGCAGGCCGCUCAGCGCUGUGAUAUUAUGAGCCUACAUGUAAGCGCAGUGCCCAUCACUCAUCAGGCUGUUGGGAAGGGAAGCUGAGGAGCACUAACAGGGCUAUCUAACCUCACUGCUUGGAAACUUCACCACUCCUAAUGUCUUCUCUUUUGUGACAAUAAAAUGGCUGUAGGCAUUAAAUAUGUAUAAAGUUUAUAUAUAUACAUUACCGAUAGAGCAUAAACACGUUAUUUUUAUUUCAUUUAUUAAAUCUUAAUGCUUUUUAAAAUUAUUCUUUCCCCGUACAGUCAGGUUACAGAGCAGAUCUGUUAGGACAGUUUAGAAGGAUUUUUGUCAUGGAUUUAGACAAAUUGCUGCUUUUCACUACAGCUGCAAUUUAGAUGCCUGAAGCAAUGAACCCCUCUCUGCUCCCAACACACACCUGCCUACCGAGAGAGGUUAAAUCACUUCCUUGUAAUGCCAGCUUUGUAUUUUUAAGCUGAUGCCUUUGAUCACCUUCAGCAUUUGAAGACUGUCAUGACUAGCAAUUACAGUGAAAUCUGUAUAAGUCUGAAGCAGACCUAUUAAAAAAAAAGACCACAGGCAAAACUCGGUCAGGUUUCUGCUGAGCUCCGUGCUCCACACUGCCUUCCACCUCUCGAGAUGUAGACGUGGCCAGCAGACAUGGCACCAGUACCAUUUACUCCUGCCCUCCUCAGCAGCCUGCAGCAUGCAUGCCAGCCCUGGUGGCACCUCCUCUUCAGCAUCACGCUGUCUGAGAGUCAGGUGUGUGGGGAAUAAACAGUUCAUAUCAUAUUACAAAGUCUGGUCUAUAAACACACUAUGAGCUACUCUUCUGCUAAAAACUGUGAGUAAAGAGAUGUGGUUUCUUUUGUCUUUUAUUUGUCGUGGCUUUUUUUUUUUUUAACCUUAUCAAAUACAGUAACAUGAGAAAGGCCAAUAAACAUCAGGCUUUCCUAGGAAGGCACGCAAGGCAAAUGCAGUGAUACUAACCAGGAAGAGAAAAGUUACUUGUGAGCAUGACUGUAUGCAUGGGAGAAGAGAAGAGCAUGUUUGCCAGUUCUGCUUUGUUAUUCAGCUUUGGUCAUAGACCAAGGCAAACAAGGGGUAGGCAGUGAUAGGUAAGGAAUAUCAGUGCAGGAGGUCCUCUGUAGAAGCAGUUAGGGAUAGAAAGGCAACUAAGUUUUAGUGACUUCGUAGGACCAGCACCGCUGUGACUCAGCUUCUGCUUCAGUCUCUACCCUGUCCCCAUGCCAAGACAACAGUGCUGGUAUCAGCAAACAAAAGCUAACUCUACAAUGUUUAUGUAUGCCUCGUGUGUGAUAUAGAUACCUGUGAGCAGAAAACUGAUUAUUUGUUUGUAAAUUGAAAUAUAUAAGAACAGUUCAGUGCUCUGAGAAAGAGGCCAGGGAAACCAUAAGCAGGCCUAACAUCUACAAAGUGACAGUAUUAGCAAAGAGCAACAAGAGAGUGUAUGCUUUCAAGAGUUCACUUGAGGAAAAAACAGCAGGACCAAUGGGGAUAACAGUAUUUUUAUUUUCCAUGACAGCAAGGCAGUCAACUAUAGAUGUGCUAAUAUUCAUAACAUUUAUUCUUGAUAUUUACAUAAUCUGCAAGACGUCUAUUCCAAUAGCAGGAAAAAAGUGGCUUUCUCUCUUAAAAAAUAAGUUUAAUUUCUUUUUUUUUUUUUCCUUUAAGUAGGUGGAUGGAUCUACUUCUUUUGGCAGAAGGGAAGGAAAGAAAACAAAAUAUUUCCUCCGAGUUCUCUUCAUGCAAAAUCUUAAGUAGAUGUCCAUGGAUUUUAUAAAUCCCUUUAAAAUAACAAUUCCGCAGUCUAUGCCUUUGUACUGCCAACCAAGAAAGUAGGACUUCACACAGUUAUUUAUAUGCAAAAAGCUAGUUUUCAUUUCAAACAUAGGAAAAUUUGACAUACAAACGUUUAGACGCUAAUGAAUAUAUCAUUAUUCAAAUCCAUUCCAAAUCUAAUUCCGUACAGCAGUUACAAAAUUAGCUAAGGAAUUAUCUACAAAUUAGGUAUUUUCUUCAUUCAUCUAAUAGCAAACUGCAAAUGAAAAUAGAAGUUAAGAUCUACAUCAAUUUCUAAACAAGCACCUUAACCUGAAAAGCAGUGAGAAAGGAGAUUGUCUAAUUGAUUUUUCUUGAACUUUCCUGACGAUAAAGAGAUUAACUGCCAGACAUAAAAAUACUGUCACCUGAGAUUGUAAGCAGAUAUGCAAUUUAGACAGCACUCGCUGCACAAAGAAUUGUACCCAUUCAAAUUGGUUCAAGUUACUAGCACAGAUGUAUAUACCAUCUUAAACCUUGCUUCAAUGGUUUUUAUAUUAACAGUGAAAGAUAUUUUCACAAAAACUGAUUUAACUGGUGUAAGAAAUAGUGUCAAAUUACUAACUGUUCUUACUACAGAUACACACUGAUGACAGUUUUCCAAUAUAUUUAUAAAUAUAUACACUUAAGUAGAAAAAAGCAUGCCAAUGGAUACACAAAGAUUCACUGAAAAUGCAUAAAAGCAGAAGAACCAUAUAAAUAAAUUGUAUUUGUUAAUAACUGUUUUUUAAUAGUCUGAACAAAUCUAGUUUAUUUUAAAAACUAAUUACUCAGGUGUCCAAGGCACAAUGAUGAAAAGAAAAUUAUCAUUAUUACCUGAUAUGUAACAAAGGUCCUUUAAAAGUGGUUAGUGCUUUCUUUGCAUUCUUUGGUUUGAACUCUGUUUUGUCAUUUUCCUCUGACUUGGAAAUUUGUUCUACAGAAUUCAUCUGAGUAAAAAUGAUGGUUAUAAUGAUUAACUCGGAGUCUCGGUUACACCACACACUACAGAUUCAUGCAGGUACUUAAAAGAAUAUGAGGAGGCUUAUUUCAAUAGUUUACAUUUUACAGACAAAAUUUAAUGUGUAUUCAUUCCUUGAAGAUUCUAGAAGCCCAUCACAUAAAAAAAAUGUAUUGUAAGUUGUGCAUUUUUAAUAUAUAACAUUAUACUACACUUUUUUUUUGCCUUUUUUUCUCCCCCUCCCAUAUAUUUUCCUGAUGCCUGAGUUGGUUGUUUCUGUAGACACCAGAUAAGCAAGCUGUGGUAUUUCUAAUACCAGUUUAGGAAGUACUGACGUUACACUUUCACUGCAAGUUUCCAAGUGACACCCCAGUAUAAUCAUUGCAACACUGAACAGAAAACACAGUAACAGCUCUGCAUUUCAUUGCAUUAAAAACUCGCUGAAUGUAUUGUUAUUUCUUUUAAACUGAUCUCUGAAGUAUUGGAGAGCUCCAAUAACAGAACUUAGGUUCUGAGGUUUUUCCUCUGUUACGUUAAGAAACUACAUACAAGUCAACAAGUAUGCUGGAUGUCCACCUCAUAAUUCUAUAGAGUUCUUUAUUCUCAGUAAAAUGCAAAAUGGAGGAAAAAAUACAGAGAAUUGGAAAAAUAAGUGGCAUGAUGACUUGAAAAAAAAAUCAGCUAGCUAAACAGUUUGCUUAGCUUUGUGUUUAUUCUACUUGAAACAGUGACAGAAGAUAGGAAGAGUAUUCAGUUUAUGUAAAUUAUCUGAAGUAUGGGAAUUGAAGAAAUACAGUAUCAUAGAAAAUAGAUUUCUGUAAAAAAAACAAAACCAAAACACCUCAGACACAGUAAUUUCACUUUUUGUAACUGCAGUUUAAGAAGAAGAUUAUUGUAUAAAUACACUGCAUAGUCAGUGUGUUUGGAUUUAUUCUACAUAACUCCGAUUUAAAUUACCAGAAAAAGAAAAUAUUACAGCAGUACCCACUGAAGGUGGAAUCUCACGUGCCAAAUACAGGUGUCUACAGAAAAGGCACUUACAAUUAAGUUUAUUGCUCAUGGUUCCCUCUACUCUGUGGAAAGAAAAAGGCACUUCUAUGGGAUGAGAGGAGGGAUACAUAAAAAUAAAUCAGAGGAAUUCUUAGUGAUUACAAAAACCUACAAAUAAUGCAAAUAAAUACUAGUAACACAGUAAAUAAUAAUGAAAUCUCACAGGUCACUUGCAACCUAUCACUUCAGAAGUUGGCCUUAAUAAAAAAUAUUCAAUAAGUUAUAUUUAUGAACAGUGAAGUACAAAAUAACUUCUUUUAAAAUGCCAACCAUUCAUAGAAUAAGGAACAGUUUCUAGAAAACAUUUUGGAAGAAGUUCAACAUAGAAGGGGCAAACAUUGACAUACUAUCUGUGUUAGAAAUGGCAAGUGUUAUUUUUAUGUGAACAGAAAGCGUACUGAAGCAAGACAGCUGACUUUUCUUUUCCUUGAACAGGAACAGUGACAACAAUGGGAUACACCCUGAAUUUUAGAAGUACGUUAAAGACUGGAUAUUAAACAUCUCUUUAAGUUAACGAUGCAUGAGUAAAAAUGAUCAGCUUAAUUCAAAAGAUUGAGUAGUAGCUUGAUUAUGCUGUAGGAAAUAGAAAAUACCAUAAAACAUUAUUUUUAAAUACUGAAAAAGUACAGUAAGUAGAAAUCUGAAAUAAAACAAGCAAUUAAAUUAUAUAUUGAGGCAGUUCAGCAUCAAAGCUAACCUUCAUACUAAACAGUGAUUAUGUUCCUGUAUCUGAGAAUCACAUCUUAGCAAAUGUGCCACAACCAAAACAAGUUAGUCUACCUGUUGUGAAGUUAGAAUAGCCAUGUAAUGCCUCCUUCUGACCCUAAACUCAGAUAUAUAAAUAAAAAAAUAAAUCUAUUUAUAUAAAUAAACUUAUAUAAAUAGAUGGCCAAGAUGCAAGUGGGCACUGUAAAGUCAGCCAUGUUUCAAAUUAUUCUGAUGAAAAUUUAAAACAGCAAAUGGAAACAAAAAUGUUAAAGAGUUUUACUACUUUAAACAAAAGCUUUACAAUUCAUAAUCCAAAACGAAGUGUGGCACUGGUGAAUGAAUUUCACAUUUUUUUUUUCUUUCCCUUCCCUGUCCUUUAUAAAAACAAUGUCCCCACUGACUAUGAUUGCAUAUUCUGAGGUAUAACUUCA